AGAGUUUGAUCCUGGCUCAGAUUGAACGCUGGCGGCAGGCUUAACACAUGCAAGUCGAACGGUAACAGGAGAAAGCUUGCUUUCUUGCUGACGAGUGGCGGACGGGUGAGUAAUGCUUGGGAAUCUGGCUUAUGGAGGGGGAUAACGACGGGAAACUGUCGCUAAUACCGCGUAGAGUCGAGAGACGAAAGUGCGGGACCGCAAGGCCGCAUGCCAUGAGAUGAGCCCAAGUGGGAUUAGGUAGUUGGUGGGGUAAAGGCCUACCAAGCCGACGAUCUCUAGCUGGUCUGAGAGGAUGACCAGCCACACCGGGACUGAGACACGGCCCGGACUCCUACGGGAGGCAGCAGUGGGGAAUAUUGCGCAAUGGGGGCAACCCUGACGCAGCCAUGCCGCGUGAAUGAAGAAGGCCUUCGGGUUGUAAAGUUCUUUCGGUGACGAGGAAGGUUGUUGUGUUAAUAGCGCAACAAAUUGACGUUAAUCACAGAAGAAGCACCGGCUAACUCCGUGCCAGCAGCCGCGGUAAUACGGAGGGUGCGAGCGUUAAUCGGAAUAACUGGGCGUAAAGGGCACGCAGGCGGCUAUUUAAGUGAGGUGUGAAAUCCCCGGGCUUAACCUGGGAAUUGCAUUUCAGACUGGGUAGCUAGAGUACUUUAGGGAGGGGUAGAAUUCCACGUGUAGCGGUG
rnacentral:rRNA from 1 species